rnacentral:rRNA from 1 species
UCUGGUUGAUCCUGCCAGUAGUCAUAUGCUUGUCUCAAAGAUUAAGCCAUGCAUGUCUAAGUAUAAGCAAUUUAUACAGUGAAACUGCGAAUGGCUCAUUAAAUCAGUUAUCGUUUAUUUGAUAGUUCCUUUACUACAUGGUAUAACUGUGGUAAUUCUAGAGCUAAUACAUGCUUAAAAUCUCGACCCUUUGGAAGAGAUGUAUUUAUUAGAUAAAAAAUCAAUGUCUUCGGACUCUUUGAUGAUUCAUAAUAACUUUUCGAAUCGCAUGGCCUUGUGCUGGCGAUGGUUCAUUCAAAUUUCUGCCCUAUCAACUUUCGAUGGUAGGAUAGUGGCCUACCAUGGUUUCAACGGGUAACGGGGAAUAAGGGUUCGAUUCCGGAGAGGGAGCCUGAGAAACGGCUACCACAUCCAAGGAAGGCAGCAGGCGCGCAAAUUACCCAAUCCUAAUUCAGGGAGGUAGUGACAAUAAAUAACGAUACAGGGCCCAUUCGGGUCUUGUAAUUGGAAUGAGUACAAUGUAAAUACCUUAACGAGGAACAAUUGGAGGGCAAGUCUGGUGCCAGCAGCCGCGGUAAUUCCAGCUCCAAUAGCGUAUAUUAAAGUUGUUGCAGUUAAAAAGCUCGUAGUUGAACUUUGGGCCCGGUUGGCCGGUCCGAUUUUUUCGUGUACUGGAUUUCCAACGGGGCCUUUCCUUCUGGCUAACCUUGAGUCCUUGUGGCUCUUGGCGAACCAGGACUUUUACUUUGAAAAAAUUAGAGUGUUCAAAGCAGGCGUAUUGCUCGAAUAUAUUAGCAUGGAAUAAUAGAAUAGGACGUUUGGUUCUAUUUUGUUGGUUUCUAGGACCAUCGUAAUGAUUAAUAGGGACGGUCGGGGGCAUCAGUAUUCAAUUGUCAGAGGUGAAAUUCUUGGAUUUAUUGAAGACUAACUACUGCGAAAGCAUUUGCCAAGGACGUUUUCAUUAAUCAAGAACGAAAGUUAGGGGAUCGAAGAUGAUCAGAUACCGUCGUAGUCUUAACCAUAAACUAUGCCGACUAGGGAUCGGGUGGUGUUUUUUUAAUGACCCACUCGGCACCUUACGAGAAAUCAAAGUCUUUGGGUUCUGGGGGGAGGUAUGGUCGCAAGGCUGAAACUUAAAGGAAUUGACGGAAGGGCACCACCAGGAGUGGAGYCUGCGGCUUAAUUUGACUCAACACGGGGAAACUCACCAGGUCCAGACACAAUAAGGAUUGACAGAUUGAGAGCUCUUUUCUUGAUUUUGUGGGUGGUGGUGCAUGGCCGUUCUUAGUUGGUGGAGUGAUUUGUCUGCUUAAUUGCGAUAACGAACGAGACCUUAACCUACUAAAUAGUGGUGCUAGCAUUUGCUGGUUAUCCACUUCUUAGAGGGACUAUCGGUUUCAAGCCGAUGGAAGUUUGAGGCAAUAACAGGUCUGUGAUGCCCUUAGACGUUCUGGGCCGCACGCGCGCUACACUGACGGAGCCAGCGAGUCUAACCUUGGCCGAGAGGUCUUGGUAAUCUUGUGAAACUCCGUCGUGCUGGGGAUAGAGCAUUGUAAUUAUUGCUCUUCAACGAGGAAUUCCUAGUAAGCGCAAGUCAUCAGCUUGCGUUGAUUACGUCCCUGCCCUUUGUACACACCGCCCGUCGCUAGUACCGAUUGAAUGGCUUAGUGAGGCCUCAGGAUCUGCUUAGAGAAGGGGGCAACUCCAUCUCAGAGCGGAGAAUUUGGACAAACUUGGUCAUUUAGAGGAACUAAAAGUCGUAACAAGGUUUCCGUAGGUGAACCUGCGGAAG